UACGGAGGGUGCAAGCGUUAAUCGGAAUCACUGGGCGUAAAGCGUGCGUAGGCGGCCUGCCAAGUCAGGUGUGAAAGCCCUCCGCUCAACGGAGGAAUUGCACUUGAAACUGGUAGGCUGGAGUCUCGGAGAGGGUGGCGGAAUUCCCGGUGUAGGAGUGAAAUCCGUAGAUAUCGGGAGGAACACCAGUGGCGAAGGCGGCCACCUGGACGAUGACUGACGCUGAGGUACGAAAGCGUGGGGAGCAAACAGGAUUAGAUACCCGCGUAGU
rnacentral:rRNA from 1 species